rnacentral:rRNA from 1 species
UACAGAGGGUGCGAGCGUUGUUCGGAAUCACUGGGCGUAAAGGGCGCGUAGGUGGCGAGCCAAGUCCAUGGUGAAAGCUCGAUGCUCAACAUCGGGUCGGCCACGGAUACUGGUGCGCUUGAGCACUGUAGAGGCUAAUGGAAUUCCGGGUGUAGCGGUGGAAUGCGUAGAGAUCCGGAAGAACACCGGUGGCGAAGGCGGUUAGCUGGGCAGUUGCUGACACUGAGGCGCGACAGCGUGGGGAGCAAACAGG